GUCACAGUAAAAGAUCAAGAUUGCCUUGGUGAUGGGUACAGCAUUUAGUAGGUAUCUACCAUCAACUCACGAUACGUAUCAAGUCCAUUAGGUUGAUUCGGGACAGAUCGUGUCAAAAAGAAUGUGUGGAGAAACAUGGGCACACUAUUUGACUAAAGAAACCAUUGAAAAAUCAAUAGCAAUAGAACAUCAUUGACAUGAUUAUCACUAUCCCAUAUAUUAAAACAAAAAAUUGAAGAAAAAGGAAAGAAAAAUGGAGUAAGAAUAUAGUCUUUGAUCUCUAUUAAAAAAAUUCAUCAUUUGUCUAAACAUAAACACAUGUAGCAUGAUACAUCAGUAUAUACAAGUUUUGACUCCACCAUCAUUUCUUGGUUUGAGUCUUGACAAAUAAUACAAAGCUCCUAACUUAGCUCAAUUAAAUAUUCUGGUAUGCAA
rnacentral:lncRNA from 1 species